rnacentral:rRNA from 1 species
CCCUUAGAUGUUCUGGGCCGCACGCGCGCUACACUGAUGCAUUCAACAAGCCUAGCCUUGACCGAGAGGUCCGGGUAAUCUUUGAAACUGCAUCGUGAUGGGGCUAGAUUAUUGCAAUUAUUAAUCUUCAACGAGGAAUGCCUAGUAAGCGUGAUUCAUCAAAUCGCGUUGAUUACGUCCCUGCCCUUUGUACACACCGCCCGUCGCACCUACCGAUUGAAUGGUCCGGUGAAAUCUUCGGAUUGAGACUUUGAUUUCUUCACGGAAAACGCUGUUUUAAAAAGUUGAUUAAACCUUACCAUUUAGAGGAAGGUGAAGUCGUAACA